rnacentral:snRNA from 1 species
AGCUUUGCACAGUGGCGGUAUGGUAGCCAGUGAGGUUUAUCCGAGGCGUGAUUAUUGCUAAUUGAAAAUUUUUCCCAUAAAGCAGAAAAAGCUAAAAAUCUACAUGAUUCAUGAAGACAUAUGUCU